rnacentral:rRNA from 1 species
CAAUAGCGUAUAUUAAAGUUGUUGCGGUUAAAAAGCUCGUAGUUGGAUUUCUGCCGAGGACGACCGGUCCGCCCUCUGGGUGAGUAUCUGGCUCGGCCUGGGCAUCUUCUUGGAGAACGUAGCUGCACUUGACUGUGUGGUGCGGUAUCCAGGACUUUUACUUUGAGGAAAUUAGAGUGUUUCAAGCAGGCUUACGCCUUGAAUACAUUAGCAUGGAAUAAUAAGAUAGGACCUCGGUUCUAUUUUGUUGGUUUCUAGAGCUGAGGUAAUGAUUAAUAGGGAUAGUUGGGGGCAUUCGUAUUCAACUGUCAGAGGUGAAAUUCUUGGAUUUGUUGAAGACGGACUACUGCGAAAGCAUCUGCCAUGGAUGUUCUCAUUGA